rnacentral:lncRNA from 1 species
AUCAUCACGGUGACUUGCAAGCAACUCACUGUACUUUGAUGUCAGAUUAACUGAGUUUCUAAUUCAGUAACGAAAAGUUUUUAGAUGCAAUAAAGUACUUGUCAAGUCAGUGCAUGAGUGAAGAUGGGAUUGAUCCCUCCGAAUUAGUAGGAGUUAAUGUAUCAAUAUAUUUUAAUUUAGCAAAAUCUGGACUCGAGUAAUUCAUAUGAUAGAUUUGAAAGAUUGAAAUACAAUAUGGAUGACUUAUAUAUGAUUGACAGUUAAAUUCUAGAUCAUCCUUGAGCAUUAGGGUCAAAGAGAUGAAUUAUAUGAUAACCAUACACCAGUAGGUUCUUGAAUAUUCAUUUGCCUUCAUUUGAUCUAUCUGGACAU